CUACGGGUUGCUGCAGUGAGGAAUAUUGCACAAUGGGGGGAACCCUGAUGCAGCAACGCCGCGUGGAGGAUGACGCAUUUCGGUGUGUAAACUCCUUUUAUAUGUCAAGAAAAUGACGGUAGCAUAUGAAUAAGCACCGGCUAACUCCGUGCCAGCAGCCGCGGUAAUACGGAGGGUGCAAGCGUUACUCGGAAUGCACUGGGCGUAAAGGACGCGUAGGCGGGUUGGAAAGUCAGGUGUGAAAUCCUACAGCUUAACUGUAGAACUGCACUUGAAACUUCUAAUCUAGAGUAUGGGAGGGGGAGAUGGAAUUAGUGGUGUAGGGGUAAAAUCCGUAGAUAUCACUAGGAAUACCUAAAGCGAAGGCGAUCUCCUGGAACAUUACUGACGCUAAGGCGUGAAAGCGUGGGGAGCAAACAGGAUUAGAUACCCGUGUAGUC
rnacentral:rRNA from 1 species